rnacentral:lncRNA from 10 species
CUGGAGGCAGUGGCUCUACAGCAGCAGUGAGAGCCGAGCUGUGGCAGACACAUGCUCUUCCCCUGACUCACGGCUGCCCAGUUCCCUCCAGCGAGGCUGCUGACCUAUUUUUCUAUUAGGAACAACCAGCCAAUGUGAUAAUGAGGAAAAUGUAUUCUGGCCCCUAUGAAGUUUAGUGAAGCCCGAAUGAAGUGGAGGAGGCCACGGAGAUGCACGAGGAAGAGCAUUCCAGGCAGAGGGAACAGCGAGGACAAAAGCCCCCGGGCAGGAAUGGGUGUGCAAGCCUGAGAUCCAACAUGGCGGAGAGCAAGCCGGAAGUGCUGCGCGGGGAUCCUAAGGGAGCACUGAACAGGACAAGCUCAGUUUUGUCCCUCAAACCUCCACAAUCAGUAAUUGGUGUGUAUUAUUGUCACACGUUGUUGCUGGGAGGACU